rnacentral:rRNA from 1 species
UACGGAGGGUGCAAGCGUUAUCCGGAUUCACUGGGUUUAAAGGGUGCGUAGGUGGGAUGGUAAGUCCGUGGUGAAAUCCCUGAGCUUAACUCAGGAACUGCCGUGGAUACUAUCACUCUUGAAUGCUGUGGAGGUAAGCGGAAUAUGUCAUGUAGCGGUGAAAUGCUUAGAUAUGACAUAGAACACCAAUUGCGAAGGCAGCUUGCUACACGGUUAUUGACACUGAGGCACGAAAGCGUGGGGAUCAAACAGG